AGUGUUUGUUUUAAGGGCACACGGUGGAUGCCUUGGCAUAUCAAGCCGAUGAAGGACGUGAGAGGCUGCGUUAAGCCUCGGGGAGUUGCCAACUAAGCGUUGAUCCGAGGAUGUCCGAAUGGGGAAACCCAGCCGCAGUGAUGUGUGGUUACCCGCCGGUGAAUAUAUAGCCGGUGUGGGGGGUGACACGGGGAAGUGAAACAUCUCAGUACCCGUAGGAGAAGAAAACAAUUGUGAUUCCGUUAGUAGUGGCGAGCGAACGCGGAUGAUGGCUAAAGCCUAUGUGUGUGAUACCCGGCAGGGGUUGCAUGUAGGUGGUUGUGGGGCAAUGACGGUUGUGUUCUGCCGGACACUGGCUCAUCGCGCAUUGAUUAGUGGAAGUGGUGUGGAAACACCUACCGUAGAAGGUGAUAGUCCUGUACAUGAAGGUCAGUGUGGGUGGGUGGUUGUUGUACCCGAGUAGCAGCGGGCUCGUGAAAUCUGCUGUGAAUCUGCCGGGACCACUCGGUAAGCCUGAAUACUUGAUAUGACCGAUAGCGGAUUAGUACCGUGAGGGAAUGGUGAAAAGUACCCCGGGAGGGGAGUGAAAUAGUACCUGAAACCGUGUGCUUACAAUCCGUCAGAGCAUCCUGUGGGGUGUGAUGGCGUGCCUUUUGAAGAAUGAGCCUGCGAGUCAGCGGCAUGUCGCGAGGUUAACCCGUGUGGGGUAGCCGUAGGGAAACCGAAUCCUAAUCAGGGUGAAUCAGUGGCAUGUCUUGGACCCGAAGCGGAGUGAUCUACCCAUGGCCAGUGUGAAGCGAUGGUAAGACGUCGUGGAGGCGCGAACCCACUUAGGUUGAAAACUGAGGGGAUGAGUUGUGGGUAGGGGUGAAAGGCCAAUCAAACUCCGUGAUAGCUGGUUCUCCCCGAAAUGCAUUUAGGUGCAGCGUUGUGUGUUUCUUCCCGGAGGUAGAGCUACUGGAUGGUUUAGCGGGACCAACAUCUUAGCGACAUCAGCCAAACUCCGAAUGCCGGUGAAGUGAUAGCACAGCAGUGAGACUGCGGGGGAUAAGCUUCGUAGUCGAGAGGGAAACAGCCCAGAUCGCCGGCUAAGGCCCCUAAGGGUGUGCUAAGUGGAAAAGGAGGUGGGGUCGCGAAGACAGCCAGGAGGUUGGCUUAGAAGCAGCCAUCCUUGAAAGAGUGCGUAAUAGCUCACUGGUCGAGUGAUCCCGCGCCGACAAUGUAGUGGGGCUUAAGUACACCGCCGAAGCCGCGGCAAUGACAUGUAUGUGUUGUUGGGUAGGGGAGCGUCGUGCACGUGUUGAAGCAGCCUGGUGACGGUGUUGUGGAGUGUGUGCGAGUGAGAAUGCAGGCAUGAGUAACGAUUGAUGAGUGAGAAACUCAUCCGCCGGAUGACUAAGGGUUCCUGGGUCAAGUUAAUCUUCCCAGGGUGAGUCGGGGCCUAAGGCGAGGCCGACAGGCGUAGUCGAUGGAUAACGGGUUGAUAUUCCCGUACCCGAGUGUGCGCGCCCAUGGUGAAUCAGUGAUACUAACCACCCACAAGAUCACGUGCCUUCCUUCGGGUUGGUGGUGGUGGCGUGCGUGGGACCUGAUCUGGUAGUAGCUAAGUGAUGGGGUGACGCAGUGAGGUAGCAUGAGCCACUUAGUGGAUUGUGGUGUAAGCGUGUGGAACGAGGUAUUGGUAAAUCCGUAUCUCAUUAUGUUCGAGGCGUGAUGCGUAGCCCUUAAAGGGGUGAAUUCUGUGAUCCUGUACUGUCGAGAAAAGCCUCUAGCGAUGUGCAUAUUCGGCCCGUACCCCAAACCGACACAGGUAGUCAGGUAGAGAAUACUAAGGCGUUCGGGUGAACUGUGGUUAAGGAACUCGGCAAAAUGCCCCCGUAACUUCGGGAGAAGGGGGGCCUGCACUGGUGAAGGAAUCUGCUUCUGGAGCUGGUGUGGGUCGCAGAGAAUAGAGGGAAGCGACUGUUUACUAAAAACACAGGUCCGUGCGAAGACGUUAUAAGUUGAUGUAUACGGACUGACGCCUGCCCGGUGCUGGAAGGUUAAGAGGACCGGUUAGCUGCGUUAAGCGGCGAAGCUGAGAAUUUAAGCCCCAGUAAACGGCGGUGGUAACUAUAACCAUCCUAAGGUAGCGAAAUUCCUUGUCGGGUAAGUUCCGACCUGCACGAAUGGCGUAACGACUUCCCUGCUGUCUCAACCACAGGCCCGGUGAAAUUGCAGUACGAGUAAAGAUGCUCGUUACGCGCGGCAGGACGAAAAGACCCCGGGACCUUCACUAUAGCUUGGUAUUGGUGUUUGAUUCGGUUUGUGUAGGAUAGGUGGGAGACUAUGAUGCCAUGACGCUAGUUGUGGUGGAGUCGUUGGUGAAAUACCACUCUGAUCGGAUUGAAUGUCUUAACCUUGGCCCAUGAUCUGGGUUGGGGACAGUGCCUGGUGGGUAGUUUAACUGGGGCGGUUGCCUCCUAAAAUGUAACGGAGGCGCCCAAAGGUUUCCUCAGCCUGGUUGGUAAUCAGGUGGUGAGUGUAAGUGCACAAGGGAGCUUGACUGUGAGAGUGACAGCUCGAGCAGGGACGAAAGUCGGGACUAGUGAUCCGGCACCUACUUGUGGUUGUGGUGUCGCUCAACGGAUAAAAGGUACCCCGGGGAUAACAGGCUGAUCUUCCCCAAGAGUCCAUAUCGACGGGAUGGUUUGGCACCUCGAUGUCGGCUCGUCGCAUCCUGGGGCUGGAGUAGGUCCCAAGGGUUGGGCUGUUCGCCCAUUAAAGCGGUACGCGAGCUGGGUUUAGAACGUCGUGAGACAGUUCGGUCUCUAUCCGCCGCGCGCGUUGAAACUUAAGGAAGGCUGUCCCUAGUACGAGAGGACCGGGACGGACGUACCUCUGGUGUGCCAGUUGUUCCGCCAGGAGCAGGGCUGGUUGGCUACGUACGGAAGGGAUAACCGCUGAAAGCAUCUAAGCGGGAAGCCUGUUUCGAGAUGAGGUUUCUGUUGAGGUUCCCUAGAGAUUAUGGGGUUGAUAGGCCAGAUCUGGAAGCAUCGUAAGAUGUGGAGGUGACUGGUACUAAUUUACCGACACAAACACCCC
rfam:Corynebacterium efficiens YS-314 DNA, complete genome.